rnacentral:rRNA from 1 species
AGCGAACGCUGGCGGCAGGCCUAACACAUGCAAGUCGAACGAAGUCUUCGGACUUAGUGGCGGACGGGUGAGUAACACGUGGGAACGUGCCUUUAGGUUCGGAAUAACUCAGGGAAACUUGUGCUAAUACCGAAUGUGCCCUUCGGGGGAAAGAUUUAUCGCCUUUAGAGCGGCCCGCGUCUGAUUAGCUAGUUGGUGAGGUAAUGGCUCACCAAGGCUACGAUCAGUAGCCGGUCUGAGAGGAUGACCAGCCACAUUGGGACUGAGACACGGCCCAAACUCCUACGGGAGGCAGCAGUGGGGAAUCUUGCGCAAUGGGCGAAAGCCUGACGCAGCCAUGCCGCGUGGAUGAUGAAGGUCUUAGGAUUGUAAAAUCCUCUCACCGGUGAAGAUAAUGACUGUAGCCGGAGAAGAAGCCCCGGCUAACUUCGUGCCAGCAGCCGCCGUAAAAC